ACAGAUGCAUCAGUAUUACCAACAUCUUUUAGUUUCUAAUUAUAAAAAUUGCAUACUACAGAAGGCAGUAAUUUAAAAUUUUGAUUGAUUGAUUGAUUAUGUUGUGGGCGUCGAUUACUAUGGUCAUUAGCCCAUUAAAAUUUUGAAAUAUAAAUAUUCAUAAGUAAAUGCAGAAUGAUUCAGGGACACCUUGAGGAAAAGGAAAAUCAUGAAAACCCCAAAAAAAGAAGACCAAUGGAUUUAUAGAGUGAAUACACUACUUGUGAGAAAUCCUCAUUUCGAAAAAAAUAUAAACAAUUAAGUAAUAAAGGAUAAAACUUAA